rnacentral:tmRNA from 1 species
GGGGCUGACUUGGAUUUCGACAGAUUUCUUGUCGCACAGAUAGCAUGCCAAGUGCUGCUUGUAAAACAGCAACAAAAAUAACUGUAAACAACGCAGAUUACGCUCCAGCUUACGCUAAAGCUGCGUGAGUUAAUCUCCUUUUGGAGCUGGACUGAUUGAAAUUUCUAGCGUUUUAAUCACUCCAUAACCUUAAGCUAGACGCUUUUAAAAGGUGGUUCGCCUUUUAAACUAAGAACAAGAACUCUUGAAACUAUCUCAAGGUUUUAGAAAGUUGGACCAGAGCUAGUUUUAAGGCUAAAAAACUAACCAAUUUUCUAAGCAUUGUAGAAGUUUGUGUUUAGGACAAGAUUUUUGGACUGGGGUUCGAUUCCCCACAGCUCCACCA